rnacentral:ncRNA from 2 species
CUCUUAUUUAGAGAGGUGGAGGGACGUGCCCUAUGAAGCCCGGCAACCGUCAAUGAAAAUUGAAAUGGUGCCAAUUCACUCAAAGCUAUGCUUUGAAAGAUGAGAG